AUGUUUACAGCAUGUUUUAUUACAUUGAGGAAACCAAAACAAAAAAUAUCAAGUACCUGAACUUUUUUGCUACAUUUACAUCUGACACACAUUGUAUGCCAAGAAGAGUGUUAAAAAACAAAUAUUUAUUAUUCUCCUAAAAGAAUGCCUGACAGAGAAAAUACUGAAAACACAAAUGUUGACUUAAAUUGAAGCCAGGAAUUGAAACGUUAACUGAAAUAUGCAGUAAUGAUUUUCAUUAGGCUCUUGAGCUUUAACAUUUUCGUAGUCUAUAUAGUAUGUUUCAUCAGAAAGAUACUUUAAAAUUCAAACAGGCAAAAUUAACCUUUUAUGGAAUACAAGGACAUUUCAAAACUUUAAAAGUCCUCCUCUAUGCUUUACUAUUGAGAUAUUUAUACACAAAACAAUAUGUUAAAAAAUUUAUUUAAUUUUGAAAAAUCAUCUGUAGGACAUAUAACACUGUGAGGAAAAUGCAUGUAGUUAAGAUGGGUAGCUUUUGCCAUUGAAAUUUAAUAUAAAUCCUGAAGAAUUUUACAGUUAUAAGAUAAAUAUAGAUUGAUCCUUGAUGACACCAAUGCUGUUAUCUUACUGCUUCGUUCCGCUUCAGAAAUAGGCUGAAAAGCACAAGAGCAGUUUGCCAGGUGGUGGGAAUAUGUUACGGUAUUCCCAUGAGAGAGACAUUGGUAAAUUUAAAAAGACAUUUUUCCUCUAAUUUUGUGUUUUAAAAAAUUUCUGACCUUGACAAUGAAUUUUAAUUCCACAAAAAAAUUGGGCAUAUAAGACUAGAAAGAGGCAUUUUCUUCUUUCUUUUCACAGAGAAGCAGAUAAAUUGAGAAGAUAGUGGAAGAAUUUUUUAAAACAACACAAAUAUAAAUAAAGCCGAAAAUUUCCCAGAUAAUUCUAUGGACAUGAAAAUGUAAAACCAAACAUGUGAAAUUAUAGCUGAUAGCCAUUGUAUAAUUUGGCUUACAGAGGAUGAAAUGCCUAUUUGUUAUUGUUGUUUUUUAGUAUUUUCCAUGACUCUCAUUUUAGAAUAACAAAAACACCAAGAAUUUCCUCUAAAACAGGGAAAGCCUAUGUUUAACUUUCUCUAAUCAGAGAAGUAGGGAAUUUGUCAUGUUACUUAAAAUUGGCAGCAGACCUUAAAACAAAGAUUGUAUGCAUAUGUAUGCAUGUAUGUUGUAGACAUGUGAAAUAUACUUGGCAAACUUACAUAUUCACCUGUAAAUUAUUCAAACGAAAGACAGAAUUGAACUAAUAUAUGUAAUGGAGAACAAUAAUAAGUUUAACUUAUUUUAUAUUUACACAUGAAUAAUCAAAUGUGAUAUUUCUUUGAGUUGUCAUUUCAUUACUCCAUUACAAUUAUUUUUAGGAAUAAAUGGAAGAUUUUAUGAAUAUUCUAUUUCCCCACGAGAUCUCAAGUUUAGUAUUUUUGCAUUUUGACCAUUGUCAAGACUAGGACUCCAAGCUAGGACAUGACUAUAUUUCCUAUAAAACUAAAAGCUUUGUUUCAUAAAUUUUAAAAUAAUUAUUUUUGAUUAUGAACAGUAGUCCAAAUUUAAUAAUUGACAUAAUUCAUAACAGCUUGCUAUAAAAACGAUAGUUUACUAGUCUUUCUGUUAUUUAAAGAAUAAAAUACGCUUAUAAAAGCCUUUUAACAAACUGCUGCCUUUUUAAAAUACUUAACUUGCACACAAAAAUAAAACAUAAAGUCAGUAAUAGUCCUUGUAAUCCUAUGGGAAUCGGUUGUUUAUUGUCUAUGUACCAUUUUGCUACCAGUUACAUUGAAUCGCUUAAAAUAAAUAAUAAAAAUUAUUUCUGGUGGUGAAAACCCUUGGUGCUUUUUGCCAAAACUUCAAUUGCUUAACCAAUUAUGCUUUGAAACCACAAAAUGCCUUUGUCGCUUUUAUAUAAAGUAAUGUAAACGUGAAGAAACAUCAACAUAAACAUGAUGGUCAUCUCAUUGGAAAAGAUAGCCAUAAAAAAACGUGUUGAAUUACUUCUUAACAUAAUAGUUUCUGAAUAGCUAUGUGGUAGGAAAAGCUCAGGGAGGAUGGAGGUUGAGAAGAAGUGAACAAAGGGAAGGAGAAAAAGCAGAAAGGAAAAAGAAGGUGGAAAGGAGUGAAUGUAGGUGCUAGAAGAGAAAUAUUUUGUUUUUGUUUUUUACAAAACAGUGAAUUCUGCCCAAAUAUAGUAAUUUAACCAGAAAAGUACUGGUUAGAGGGGAAAAAAUAAUUUUAAAUGCAAUGAUAGACUUUUGGCUCCAGGGAAAUGGAUUCUAUUCCUCCUGCUAAGUACAACUAAUAACUCUAGAUAUUAUUUAUUAAACAAGCAUCAGAAGACUGAAAAGUGAAAAGAAGAAGGAAGACAGACCGGGGAACUGGGUCGUGUGGAGCAGCAGGGCGGGGACUGGCUCCAAGAGCAGGUGCACAGACUUCUGAUGCUCCUGCACUUCCCCCGUCAACAUAGCCAGGAGCCAGAAGCUAGCCUCAGCAGCCCUGCAGACCAGACCGGCUUGUCCUUGCGCUUGCCUCCAGUGAGAACGAGGCUCCCCACAUUUCCAGCAGGUUCUGCAAGUGCAAGUACCACAGUGACUUUUCUGUGAGCCACAGCUGUGCCAUCUCCAACAGUCUUGAUUUCAGUCCUGGGGUCUCUUCAUGGGGCACUCUGUCUCUGCCCUGAUGAUGACUCACACUCUUCAUAUCUGCUGUUGCUAUAUUCUUUUCAAGUUCUCUUUAUUACUAACCAAUCGGUCAUGGCUACAGAGCUCUGCUACGGCUAAUAAAUUUCUACAUUAAAUUUUGUCUGUCUAAA